GUCACUGGAAUUCUUCACAUGCAGUGCUUAAAGCAAUCCUUCAGGACUAAAGGUAGAAGGUGGCUGUGAGUGGAGUGACUCAGGUGGGACCAGCAUGGAUGUGCGGUGGAGUAGCCUGAAGCCAGGCUGCAGGAGGAAUUUGUCUCAAAGACUAAGUCUCACAGCAUCUCUUUGGAAAAGCUAAAAUCACAUGGAAUGAUUUGUGGCAAAUCCCCCCAGUCUGCAUGCUUGUAAUAGAGCAGAACGUGUCAGAUAAAUAGAAUGUAUAUAUUUUGGAGAAGAAUUUCAGCUUAAAUGUUGCCUAAACCUCAUUCAUAGGUAGAUUCUGGAAAGAAGAAUGGCUGAAACCUGGGCGCCAGAUCCUUGAAUGCCACAUUAUAACAUACACGUCACAGAAGUGGUUGGGUAGCAACGUGUGUAUGUACUUGGACACUGUAUUUUGAGUACACUGGGGACCAUGGAAGCAUCGGGACUCCCUCUUCCAGGGAGCUGGAAUCAUCGCAAGCACCUCAGCCAGUGGGUGUGAAACAACCCCCAGGAUUCUGGGUUUAUACUAAUGGAGGUAGAGCACAAACUCUCAAUUUUGGGAACAGCCCCUUCCAACUCUCAGAACUUAGUAUUUCUCAUCAACCACAAGAUUGACUGAGCCUUCAUGGCCAAGAAACUUCUGCUGGUAAGAGCCUGGCCUCAAAACAGGAAAAUCUUAGUAGUGAGAAGUGUUUCUUUGCUGUAGAAUUUUCUCCCGCUAUAGAGGUCUGAACAGUGGAAGAUUUCUCUCUAGUGGCCAAAGCCAGUGCCACUGAUACAAACAUGAGGCAUGACCAGAGCGAGUGAGUAUUGAAGUAGAUGAUGCCAAAGGUUCCCUUCUGGUCCUUACCAUUCUACGGUUCUAUAUUCUAAAAAUGUAGUAUAUAAUAUUACGUGUAGCCAUCUGUGUGGACAGAAGGGCAACCCAUAUUUUGUCUUUGCAGUGCAGAGAUGAAAGCUGUUACUCGUAACUUGACAGCAUGCUCCCGUUAAAUGAUAUCCUGUGCAGGGGACCAAGAAAUGGACAAGAGGAAGAGAGGAGCUUCAAGUGUGUUUUGGGAGACUCUCAGGAAGCACAGCACAUCUCUGGUGAUAUAAGCCUCGAUGCCCGUGAUGCUGUCUUGGACCUGAAACACCCUCGCUUUCUCCUCUCCCGGUGCCAAGGAUGCUGUGGCUCCUCCACGCUCGGGACAUGGUCCUGAAGCCAAGAUGCCCACACGGCUGCUUGAACCUCUGCGGGGCCUGCCUUCUCUGUCUCCAGCAAAGGAAAGAACUCAGGUCACAUCGGACUUAGAGAGACUCUUCAAGCCUGCAGGACACGGUCAUCCCACAAACGCCUUCAUUUGUGGUGUACUUGAACUUUCUGUGUGUAGGACAGUCAUCAACCUGUAGUUCAUCCCCACACUCUGGCCAGAAGCACAGAGGGGGUCAGGGCGUCGAUGGCGUCAUCCUGAAGGGAGUGCCCGGCUCUCGUCAGAAACAUGGCUGAAAUGAAAAAAUAUUCACUCCAUGAAAAGAAAAAAGAAAACCCCUAUUUUUACAGCAUAUUGAUUCUCAACCAUAAUUUCCCUACAUGGAUAUAAACAUGCAGCUGGUACCUGGAGCCUCAGUUUGAGGAACGUGUAGGACACAAGGUCGUUCAGGAAGAAACUGUAGGAAGUCAGUCUGGCAAGAGGUGAAAACAUAGACCAGUGAGAGCCUGACCAGCAAUCUGGAAGUUUCUGAGACUCACUUAUACUCUAGAGAUGUCCCAUCCAGCCACUUCCAUUCGUUUUCCUGCUCUGAGUCUGUGAGGCCGAUCCAGUAGUUCUCUCUCCCUACCAUCUGCUUUUUGAUCCAUUGCUGAAAAAUAAAUCAGAAACGGUACAUUACUAUUUCUUGAACAGAUGUUUGGGGGACUUUCCCCUCAAUGUUUAGAAAAGAAGGACACUUUAUAAGAGGAUGUUUAUCAGACUUUAACAGA